GACGAACGCUGGCGGCGUGCUUAACACAUGCAAGUCGAGCGGUAAGGCCCUUUCGGGGGUACGACGAGCGGCGAACGGGUGAGUAACACGUGGGUGACCUGCCCUCAGCUCUGGGAUAAGCCUGGGAAACUGGGUCUAAUACCGGAUAUGACUCCAUGACGCAUGUUGUGGGGUGGAAAGCCUUGUGCGGCUGAGGAUGGGCCCGCGGCCUAUCAGCUUGUUGGUGGGGUGAGGCCUACCAAGGCGACGACGGGUAGCCGGCCUGAGAGGGCGACCGGCCACACUGGGACUGAGACACGGCCCAGACUCCUACGGGAGGCAGCAGUGGGGAAUCUUGCGCAAUGGGCGAAAGCCUGACGCAGCGACGCCGCGUGAGGGAUGACGGCCUCGGUGUAACGUACUUCUACGCUCCGACGAACGACGACGAGU
rnacentral:rRNA from 1 species